CCAGACUCCUACGGGAGGCAGCAGUGGGGGAUAUUGCACAAUGGGGGAAACCCUGAUGCAGCGACGCCGCGUGGGUGAAGAAGCGCCUCGGCGCGUAAAGCCCUGUCAGCAGGGAAGAAAAUGACGGUACCUGAAGAAGAAGCCCCGGCUGACUACGUGCCAGCAGCCGCGGUAAUACGUAGGGGGCAAGCGUUAUCCGGAUUUACUGGGUGUAAAGGGGGCGCAGACGGCGAUGCAAGCCAGGAGUGAAAGCCCGGGGCCCAACCCCGGGACUGCUCUUGGAACUGCGUGGCUGGAGUGCAGGAGGGGCAGGCGGAAUUCCUGGUGUAGCGGUGAAAUGCGUAGAUAUACGGAGGAACACCAGUGGCGAAGGCGGAGUGCUGGACAGUAACUGACGCUGAGGCGCGAAAGCGUGGGGAGCAAACAGGGUUAGAUACCCGGGUACUA
rnacentral:rRNA from 1 species